rnacentral:rRNA from 1 species
CCUACGAGAGGCAGCAGUGGGGGAUAUUGCACAAUGGGGGAAACCCUGAUGCAGCGACGCCGCGUGGGUGAAGAAGCGCCUAGGCGCGUAAAGCCCUGUCAGCAGGGAAGAAAAUGACGGUACGUGAAGAAGAAGCCACGGCUAACUACGUGCCAGCAGCCGCGGUAAUACGUAGGGGGCAAGCGUUAUCCGGAUUUACUGGGUGGAAAGGGGGCGUAGGCGGCGAUGCAAGUCAGAAGUGAAAGCCCGGGGCUCAACUCCGGGACUGCUUUUGAAACUGUGUUGCUAGAUUGCAGGAGAGGUAAGUGGAAUUCCUAGUGUAGCGGUAAAAUGCGUAGAUAUCAGGAGGAACACCGGCGGCGAAGGCGGCCUGCUGGACCGCGACUGACGUUGAGGCUCGAAAGCGUGGGGAGCGAACAGGAUUAGAUACCCUUGUAGUC